CUUAUUGAGCGCAUUGAAAGGAAGCAUCCCCAGUAGUACCUACAAGCUUUAACGUUCCUGCUCUGCCCUAUAUAUACUGGCCUCUAAACUGUGAUCCGAACUAUUAAACUUGCUCAGAAGAUCUCUAGCUAGUCAUUUGCAGCUCGAAAAUUCAGCAUUGAGAAGGAAUAGAGAAAUCUUCAAAAUCCCUUGUGAUUGCUUCAGUGGCCAUAGAAGGAGAAGCAAUAGCAAAGGUGGAAGCCUCAAGAGUCCUACCAGCUGAAGCAUUGACAACAGCUCUGGACUGGUUUUGAAAGGCGUUGGGUGUGAGGCGCCCAUGAAUUGCCCAUGGGAGUCUGGGCGAUCAAAGGAGGCGGAAGCACAAUAAUUUAGGGUGGACUGUUCCCAAAAUUCUAUAGAAACAAGAACUCCCAAUUUUCUCCAGUGCUACUCAGAAUCCUCCUCUAUCCUGCAACAUCGAUGCUGAAGGAUGAUGAUUGAUAUGGCCAACAACCUCGAAUCCCCAGAGGCUGAAUAAUGGCUGGGUAUCAUAAAUGAAAGGCAUGCUAGUGGAGAACAACUUGAAGAAAUUAAGACGUGGCUAAUUUUGCAUCGACAUUCUACUAAAACACGGAAUGCAUAGGAAGGACUGGCUUCCAAUAAUUUACGAAGAACUGGUCCCAAAAUUCUGCAGAAGCACAUCAAUUUAUGAUGGACCAGGAAGCACAAUAAUUUAGAAUGGACCUGGGAACCGUCCAUCCGUCCUGGUCCAUUCUAAAUUAUUUUGCUUCCUGGUCCAUCAUAAAUUGAUGUGCUUCUGCAGAAUUUUGGGACCAGUGCUCGAGUGUCGGAUCAAUUCAGCUACUGCAUACAAUUAUUAUUCGGCUACUACAAUUCCACAGCUAUGUUUGAUAAUUGAUAUACGGAAGACAUAGAACUUGAUCAAAUGAAGUUGAGUGGUGGUGUAAGCACUGUAUCUCAAAUUCUUUUGCUCAUAAAAUUAGGAGGCUGGCAUUAACUAUAAUAGUCCAUUCUAUCUGGCAAGCGAGGAAAAUACAGAUUUUCCAGCAGAUUCAAAUUUCUUGUGUAUGAUAGCUGUGUUGAAGUGGUUGUCACCACUAUUCAGAUGAUUGUUGCCUUGGCAUGUUGUCACCAAUCUUAAAAAUUAGUAUAUAUCCAGCAAAGACCUUUGUCCAGAUCUAAGGACAGGAAUUUA